AGAAGGAGGCAGGCUUGGCAAACUGCAUCAUGAGUAUGCCAACUUGGUCUGGUGCACGCAGCAAGGCUUUGGCCUUCUGCUUUAUAGCAUGAUGGACAGGAGCAGAACUGAUGAAAGGGGUGGUGAAAAGGGGACCUGGAAAAAGAUCGUCUACAGGAUAUUGCUUUGCACUCAACCUGAAGAUUAACUUACAACUUGCUGGGCCAUCCAGGAUAUCUGUUACAGUUAGGAAGAGUGAUUAGCAAAUUCUGAUGCUGGAGAUAAUCCGGAGUCUAUAAAACUUUGCUGGAUAUAGCACUGUUUGCAGAGUCUCCUUCCAAGAUUGAAGAGUGAGCACAUUCUUGUCCGGUCUUCAGAGCUGCAGUUUGGAAAAAAACACAACUUGCCAAUGUUUCCUGCCGUGUGGUCUUCUGACAGCAUAGAUGUCUGCAACAGUAGGCAACAUAUACACUUUUUAGUUUAGAAAUAGAUUGCAGUUUUGAAACAUAGUGGGAAAUGUGAUUAGAAUAGUGUAUUGUCUAUCCUCGUCAUUUGUUCUGUUUGAAUGAAUAUUUUCUAUAUAAUAUUGCCAAGAAGCACUGUUUAACUCAGAGGACACUCAACACUUAAAUCACCUGUGAAACCUGUUGGCUUAUUAGGUGUUGGAAAUACUUGCCACAUCGUUUUGGAUUUAGCAAGGCUAGAUAUCAAGGCUAGUGACAUGAUAAGGUGGCAAGCUGCCCCCUGCUCCAACACAUCUGUAGCUGUCAUUUAGCAAAAUAUUAACACAUUUUUCCAUUUAAUUUUAUUGCCUUUAAUGAGAUUUGGAACACCCUUAAUUAUUAUAUUACAGUUGAGUGAUCUUCUAAUGUAGAGCUUCAACCAGAGGCUGUACAACACCUUCCAAACCUGAUCUGAUCCUUGCACCUGUAACCCACUGUUUAUUGUAGACCCCAAUAAAAUGAAGACUAAGUCAUGU
ensembl:lncRNA